rnacentral:rRNA from 1 species
GUCCACGCCGUAAACGAUGUCGACUAGCCGUUGGCCCUCUAUACAGGGUUAGUGGCGCAGCUAACGCAUUAAGUCGACCGCCUGGGGGAGUACGGCCGCAAGGUUAAAACUCAAAUGAAUUGACGGGGGCCCGCACAAGCGGUGGAGCAUGUGGUUUAAUUCGAUGCAACGCGAAGAACCUUACCUACCCUUGACAUCCAAUGAAUUCGGCAGAGAUGCCUUAGUGCCUUCGGGAGCAUUGAGACAGGUGCUGCAUGGCUGUCGU